rnacentral:rRNA from 1 species
AUAGACUGCCUUCGUAAGGAGGAGGAAGGUGUGGACGACGUCAAGUCAUCAUGGCCCUUAUGCCCAGGGCGACACACGUGCUACAAUGGCAUAUACAAUGAGACGCAAUACCGCGAGGUGGAGCAAAUCUAUAAAAUAUGUCCCAGUUCGGAUUGUUCUCUGCAACUCGAGAGCAUGAAGCCGGAAUCGCUAGUAAUCGUAGAUCAGCCAUGCUACGGUGAAUACGUUCCCGGGUCUUGUACUCACCGCCCGUCACACCAUGGGAGUUGAUUUCACUCGAAGCCGGAAUACUAAACUAGUUACCGUCCACAGUGGAAUCAGCGACUGGGGUGAAGUCGUAACAAGGUAACCGUAGGAGAACCUGCGGUUGGAUCACCUCCUUU